rnacentral:lncRNA from 1 species
UGCGGUUUUGCUCCCUUUUUUUUCUUUUUCUUUUUCUUUUUCUUUUUUGGGUGGUUUGGUUUGGGUUGGGUUGGGGUCGUUCGAUCGAAAUGGCAGCGCGAUGCGGGCCGGCCCAUCUCGGGCCGAUCUCGUGUCAGCCGUCGGAUAUUUACCAGAUCGUUCUCAGUCGUCCGAUAAAAUUUCAGUUGUACCCUUUCAUAAAUUCCAUGUCCCAUCGGGGUAGUUUCGUCAUUUUUGAGACAUAAAGAAGGCAGGAGCUCCCCGUGCUAAACCCUAGCCGCCACCAAUUCUGGGUCGUUCGAUUGAAAUCGCAGCGCGACGUGGGCCGGCCCAUCUCGGGCUGAUCUCGUGUGAGCCGUCGGAUAUUUACCAGGUCGUUCUUAGUCGUGUGAUAAAAUUUCAGUUGCACCCUUUCGUAAAUUCCAUGCCCCCACUGGGGUAGUUUUGUCAUUUUUGAGACAUAAAAAGGACAGCAGCUCCCCGUGCUAAACCCUAGCCGCCACCAAUUUUGGGUCGUUUGAUUGAAAUCACAGCGCGACGUGGGCCGGCCCAUCUCGGGCUGAUCUCGUGUGAGCCGUCGGAUAUUUACCAGGUCGUUCUUAGUCGUGUGAUAAAAUUUCAGUUGCACCCUUUCGUAAAUUCCAUGCCCCCACCGGGGUAGUUUUGUCAUUUU